CUCCUUCUCCUCUCCCCGCCCCCUCUGCAGGGGCACCCAGCUGGGGCUGACCCUGCUGCUGUACCACUCUACUAAAUUAUUUAUUUUUUUAAGACUCGAUGCCUGAGAGUCUGUUUCAGGAAACCGAGGGCUCGAACUUCGGAGCGAACUAACACCGGACGCCUGGACGGAUCGCAUCACAGCUGCUGCGGUACAAUUGCUACAGCCCCAUGGAGAACAGAGAACAUGGACAGAAGAAGCAAUGGUUGAGAGAAGAGUUACACAGAAAGCCGUGGCCAAGGUGCAGCACAGUUGUGAUGAACUUUGAUAAUGACACAGUGCAGCUGAGAAGGUGUGAGGCCUCAGCGUGGCUUUGGGCUACACAAAGACCUGCCAGGUUGAAGUAAAAAAUGCCUCAAGGUUCAGCAAGACAGUCUGGACAUGGCAUGUACAUUCAGGUGUUACAACGAUGGCGUGAGCUGCUUCUUGCCAGAGAAACAAGGAAGUAAAAGGAGAAAAAAAACAGUGAACACUCAGCCUUGGAACAAAUUAAAGUUUCCUGACUCAGAUGCGUAGCUUGACACAAUUGCUUUUUAUAAAAGCUUGUCAAAUCAGGAGCUUGCAUCUUCCCAGGCUGUGACAAACUGAAGCCAGGCUGCAUCACUGUGCAGGAGCCAGGGAGUGACUCAACAUCAGGAUGACAUACGUGGCAUGGGGUGAAGGUUGCACCCCUUUACAUAGCGUAAGGUGGGGAGAAUGCCCCUAAGGAUCAGCUGAUGCAGGAGCAGGGUUCAUUUCUCACCCUUACCUGCUCAUAUUAGUGGGGUACAUAUCCUCCAGUCACACGUUCCCUCCACAGGAUAUGUAACCUUUUAGAUAUUCAUAUAGACCCUUAUUACCAUGCAAGCUGACCACUUAGCAUUUUUUAGGGCUUCUACCCUCAUAAAAAGCCUUGGGAAAAUGUAAAAACUAUUAUAGUUGUAUAAGAAGAGGAGGAAAAGAUAUAUGGAGGGUCAAAUCCAGAAGGUCAGCUUUUGUGUCCACCUCAGUUUAUAGACAGCAAUUAGAUACAGAAAUCUAAUACCAUAAACUUCAAAACUCUGGCUUGUACUCCUAGUGCCUAAGUCCAUAGUUAUCAGGGUUUUAAUAGUGAAGGUCCCUUGCCUACAGUUCUACUUUUGUGAAUAAAUGGAACUGCCUCAACCUCUUCAGGCCUAGCAACUCAUACCUCUCAUACUCGAGCUGACUAGGAUCUAAAAAUUAGGCUUUCCGUAAAUGUAUCCAUUGAGCUCCUUCUCUGGAAGAGAUGCUCCAGGUGGUUAUGGUACUUAGGAAAUGAGUGGCUGGAUUCUGUGCUUCCCUCUGCUUAUGCAGAAUCAAAGUUCUCCUUUCCUCUCUUUGCCCUGUCCUUCCCCCAUCCACUAGGACCUUAAGGACUUGCGUUAUGCAGGCGUGGUAAUGCUUUUACUUCCUUUGUUUGACACAGCUCCAUUUUGCAAACAAGAAUCGAAUAUUCACCAAGAAAAAGAGAUAAAAUUAUUUUAACUAAAAAAAAUUGUCCUUGAUGACUUGAUUAAAGCAACGGCUGGAAUCCAGGUAUGCUACACAACCGAGGAGCAGCUUACUUGCCCUCCAGCUUGUUUGGUCUUUAAAUUCUGUCAGUACAAAACACUACACAUUCUGUAGGAGGAAUAGUUUCUCCUUCCCAUCCCAUAUUGAUCGAUUUGCACUUCCCAUCCUCCUCCCCCAUACCUUGGAAGCUGGGAACUGGGACAGCCUUAGGCAGUGGGCAGAAAUCUAGGGUUCAAGACAGUAAGUUUGAAGGAAGAAUUGCAAUCAUACUUCUCACUCCUAGAUGAGUUCUCCAAACACUGAAGUCUUGUAUAGAAAAGUGUCUGUUUCUCCUAGUGUUAGAAGAAAGGAGUGACUCUUUCUCUAACACUUGCUAGACGCUUAAUCCCUGUGCAACUUUGGUACCUAGCUCUUCAUAGUGUCUUCUUCUUCAGAGGAUGAGCACAUAAAGGUUUUAGGCAUUAGAAAAAAACAAGUCUUUUUAGGUAUCUGGACCAGGCAAACUAAAUGAUUUGUAUAAAAUCCCACAGGAUGUCUGUGAGAGCACAAGAACUGAACCCACAUUUCUUAAGGUCUGGGCAACUGCCCAUGUUAGUGAACACCCUUCCUCUUUCUGGCUGAUAGUGGAUGUGUCUGCUUGCUGUGUGAAAUGCCUGGGGCAGUAUGUGGCUUCUGGUAAACAAGAGCAAAAGAGCCGCGAUUCAAGUUGUGCUGAAGCCUGCCUGCUUACCUAUAGCCGUAGCUGAGGCUAUAAUAAUUGCCUUCUCCUUAUGGUUGAGAGUGGGACAGCUGCUAUUUUAACAGAUCGCCAAGCACUUCCAGCGGUAUGGAGUAUUUUACAUCCUGGAGCCACCUGUCCCAUACUUUACCAAGUUACCUGCCAAAAAGAGAAACAGCAGUGCUCUGGCUUGCUCUGCUUUUGCCCAAGAUUUAUUUAUAAUAAAAAUCUAUUUCUAUUUCAUAAAACCAGAUUUGUCUUUAAUUUCC